UCCUGGCUCAGAUUGAACGCUGGCGGCAUGGCUAAAGCAUGCAAGUCGAACGCGAAAGUGGACUUCGGUCCGCGAGUAGAGUGGCGAACGGGCGAGUAAUGCGUUUCUAACGUGCCCCAUGGUCGCGGAUAGCUCGGAGAAAUCCGGGGUAAUACGCGACGACCCCAUUGGACCGCAUGGCCUGAUGGGCAAAGGUUUACUGCCAUGGGAUCGGGAAACGUCCUAUCAGCUUGUUGGUGGGGUAAAGGCUCACCAAGGCGAAGACGGGUAGCGGGCGUGAGAGCGUGGCCCGCCGCAUCGGGACUGAGACACUGCCCGGACUCCUACGGGAGGCUGCAGCAACGAAUAUUGGACUAAUGCGCGAAAGCGUGAUCCAGCAAUGCCGCGUGCGGGAUGAAGCCUUUCGGGGUGUAAACCGCCGUCAGGGCCUAGAAACACAAUGAUCGGGUCCAGAGGAAGAGACGGCUAACUCUGUGCCAGCAGCCGCGGUAAUACAGAGGUCUCAAGCGUUAAUCGGAAUCACUGGGCUUAAAGGGUGCGCAGGCGGACCUGCAAGUGCUUUGUGAAAUCCCAUGGCUCAACCAUGGAACUGCUUGGCAUACUGCAGGUCUUGAGGUCGGCAGAGGUCGCCAGAACUCUAGGUGUAGCGGUGAAAUGCGUAGAUAUCUAGGGGAAUGCCAAAGGGGAAGCCAGGCGACUGGGCCGAUUCUGACGCUCAGGCACGAAAGCGUGGGUAGCGAACGGGAUUAGAUACCCCGGUAGUCCACGCCCUAAACGAUGUGCACUGGGUCCUGGAGUCUCUGACGACAUCGGGGCCGAAGUUAAAACCAUUAAGUGCACCGCCUGGGGAGUACGGUCGCAAGGCUAAAACUCAAAGGAAUUGACGGGGGCUCACACAAGCGGUGGAGCAUGUGGCUUAAUUCGAAGCAACGCGAAGAACCUUAUCCUGGGUUUGACAUGCAUGGAUUAACGCCUGGAAACAGGCGCCACACUCUUUGAGUGGAACAUGCACAGGUGCUGCAUGGCUGUCGUCAGCUCGUGCUGUGAAGUGUCAGGUUAAGUCCUUUAACGAGCGAAACCCUUGCCGUUAGUUACCAGCGGGUCAUGCCGGGCACUCUAACGGGACUGCCGGUGUCAAGCCGGAGGAGGGUGGGGAUGACGUCAAGUCCUCAUGGCCUUUAUGCCCAGGGCUGCACACGUGCUACAAUGGCGACUACAGAGCGACGCGAGGCCGCGAGGCGGAGCAAAUCGCAAAAAGGUCGCCCCAGUUCGGACUGCAGUCUGCAACUCGACUGCACGAAGGUGGGAUCGCUAGUAAUCGCGUAUCAGCUACGACGCGGUGAAUGUGUUCCUGAGCCUUGUACACACCGCCCGUCAAGUCAUGGAAGCUGGGAGCACCCGAAGCCGCCACGAUUCAGUGGUGUCGACGGUGAGCUCGGUGA
rnacentral:rRNA from 1 species